AGCUGAUUUCUUCGGAAUGAAAUUAAGUGGAUUAGUGGCGAACGGGUGAGUAACACGUGAGUAACCUGCCUUACACAAGGGGAUAGCCUUUGGAAACGAAGAAUAAUACCCUAUAAAGUUAGUCAAUCGCAUGGUAGACUAACCAAAGAUUUAUCGGUGUAAGAUGGACUUGCGUCUGAUUAGCUAGUUGGUGAGAUAAAAGCCCACCAAGGCGACGAUCAGUAGCCGGCUUGAGAGAGUGUACGGCCACAUUGGGACUGAGACACGGCCCAAACUCCUACGGGAGGCAGCAGUGGGGAAUUUUGCACAAUGGGGGAAACCCUGAUGCAGCGACGCCGCGUGAUUUAGAAGGCCUUCGGGUUGUAAAAAUCUUUUUUAUGGGAUGAAAAUGACAGUACCAUAAGAAUAAGGUCCGGCUAAAUACGUGCCAGCAGCCGCGGUAAUACGUAUGGACCGAGCGUUGUCCGGAAUCAUUGGGCGUAAAGGGUACGUAGGCGGCCUAGUAAGUUAGAAGUGAAAUAAUAUAGCUCAACUAUAUAAAGCUUUUAAAACUGUUAGGCUUGAGAGAUGAAAGGGAAAGUGGAAUUCCUAGUGUAGCGGUGAAAUGCGCAGAUAUUAGGAAGAAUACCGGUGGCGAAGGCGACUUUCUGGUCAUCAUCUGACGC
rnacentral:rRNA from 1 species